rnacentral:rRNA from 1 species
GACGAACGCUGGCGGCGUGCCUAAUACAUGCAAGUUGAGCGCUGAAGGUUGGUACUUUUACCGACUGGAUGAGCAGCGAACGGGUGAGUAACGCGUGGGUAAUCUGCCUUUGAGCGGGGGACAACAUUUGGAAACGAAUGCUAAUACCGCAUAAAAACUUUAAACACAAGUUUUAAGUUUGAAAGAUGCAAUUGCAUCACUCAAAGAUGAUCCCGCGUUGUAUUAGCUAGUUGGUGAGGUAAAGGCUCACCAAGGCGAUGAUACAUAGCCGACCUGAGAGGGUGAUCGGCCAAAAUGGGACUGAGAACAGGCCCAAACUCCUAAGGGAGGCAGCAGUAGGGAAUCUUCGGAAAUGGAAGAAAGGCUGAACGAGCAAAGCCGCGUGAGUGAAGAAGGUUUUCGGAUCGUAAAACUCGGUUGGUAGAGAAGAAAGUUGGUGAGAGUGGAAAGCUCAUCAAGUGACGGUAACUACACAGAAAGGGACGGCUAACUACGUG